rnacentral:rRNA from 1 species
UACGUAGGGUGCAAGCGUUGUCCGGAAUUAUUGGGCGUAAAGAGCUCGUAGGCGGUUUGUUGCGUCGGCUGUGAAAUCCCGAGGCUCAACCUCGGGUCUGCAGUCGAUACGAGCAAACUAGAGUGUUGCAGGGGAGACUGGAAUUUCUGGGUGAUAGCGGUGAAAUGCGCAGAUAUCAGGAGGAACACCGGUGGCGAAGGCGGGUCUCUGGGCAACAACUGACGCUGGAG